GGCUGUCUGGUCGCAAUUAAAUUGGGAAUGAAUCUUGGCCGUCUGUGCGUGAUUCAUUUUGGGCCAUUCGCACGCGUGAAAUUUGGACCGUCCACACGUGCUUUUGAUCUGGGCCGUCGGAGCGCUCAGGAAUGGAUCUCAGCCAUCCGAUCGCGCGCACGCAAAUCGCCCACGUGGCUCUGGUCCGCGUUGCCUCCCGCGUCAACGUCUCUGCCACGUGGCGUGUCCUGGUUGGCCGGGACUGUUGACCGGGCUGCUGACGUGGUUGCUGAUGUGGUACAAUUUUUUUAAAUUGCGUUUUGACCUUCGAUU
rnacentral:lncRNA from 1 species